AAAUAGCAGUCACGAUGGUGGAAAAAGUCCUCCUAGCGUUACUGGUGGCGUGCAGCUCAAAUUUCGCGUCUACACACAUAGUGACGUCAGCACAUUCGGACCUCGCGUUCCUCAGCUGCGUGAGCUCGUUGUCUCACACCGUACAGACCACUCUAUGUCCUUUGUACGGGCAAAUCGGGGAGUAUCCUAUGGAAUACAUGCACCCCGCAUUGGACCCUCGCGAGGCGGAGACCAGAAACUGGGAGUUCCGAAACAACAUGAAGAGAUGCUGUACGAGACCCUGCAGCAUAUCCGAGCUGGUCGCAGUGUGUUAGACGAAUUAGAUGAGGUACUGAGAUAACGUAUGACGCGUAUAUCAGGAUUUGGAAAGAGUGACCGGAUCGCGGGCUUGUCGUAUGCGACGCAGUUACCUUUGUACCUUCGAUUUAUUCAGUGCAGCGCAGUGUAUUCAAUAAAUAUAGUUUAUUAUUUGUAGUUGCGAUCACUCAUUUAUUUUUGUAAAUGUAUAAUGUUAUUCCUUCGAAGCGUGACCCUUUCCGUAUGAAAACAAGAAUAAAAUAAUCCCUAUUUUUC